AAUGCAGUCGAGCGAACAGAAGGGAGCUUGCUCCCGGAUGUUAGCGGCGGACGGGUGAGUAACACGUGGGUAACCUGCCUGUAAGACUGGGAUAACUCCGGGAAACCGGAGCUAAUACCGGAUAGUUCCUUGAACCGCAUGGUUCAAGGAUGAAAUACGGUUUC
rnacentral:rRNA from 1 species